UACGGAGGGUGCGAGCGUUAAUCGGAAUUACUGGCGUAAAGCGCACGCAGGCGGUUUGUUAAGCUAGAUGUGAAAGCCCCGGGCUCAACCUGGGAUGGUCAUUUAGAACUGGCAGACUAGAGUCUUGGAGAGGGGAGUGGAAUUCCAGGUGUAGCGGUGAAAUGCGUAGAUAUCUGGAGGAACAUCAGUGGCGAAGGCGACUCCCUGGCCAAAGACUGACGCUCAUGUGCGAAAGUGUGGGUAGCGAACAGG
rnacentral:rRNA from 1 species